rnacentral:rRNA from 1 species
GAUGAACGCUGGCGGCGUGCCUAAUACAUGCAAGUCGAGCGAACAGACGCUGAGCUUGCUCCUCUGACGUUUGCGGAGCACGGGUGAGUAACAUGUGUAUAACCUACCUAUCAGUCUGGGAUAACUUCGGGACACCGGAGCUUAUCGCGGAUAAUCUCUUGAACCGUAUGGUUCGAUAGUGAAAGACGGUUUUGGUGUCACUUAUCGAUGCAUCCGCGCCGCAUUAGCUAGUUGGUACGGUACCGGCUUAUCAAGGCAACGAUGCGUAUGCGACCGGAGAGAGGGAUCGGCCACACGGGAGCGGAGACACGGUCCAGAGGCCUACGAGAGGCAGCAGUAGCGAAUCUGACGCAAUAGGCGGAAGUCUUACGCAGCAACGCCGCGUGAGAGAUGAAGGUCUUCGGAGCGGAAAACUCUGUUAUUAGGUAAAAACAAAUUUCUAAGGAACUAAGCACGGCUUGACGGUAACUAAUAAGAAAGCCACGGCUAACUACGUG